rnacentral:tRNA from 4 species
GGGUGCAUAGCUCAGCGGCAGAGCGUCCGCCUCACACGCGGAAGGUCAGAGGUUCAAACCCUCUUGCGCCCACCA